UGUAAACCUCUGCGGAGGAGAGUGGAAACUCUCGGGAAAACAAAAGUUUCCCCUCUGGUGCAGAUAUCAAGUGUAUGAUAUGUCUUCACCCAUUUUUUUAACCUGUAUAGCUAAUGAUGUGGAUAAUGUACUCAACUGCCUUGUGCAAAUGCAAGACAUCAAUUCACCACGAACAUUGAGAACAUUUGCCAAGGUACGUAACAUGAAUCUAAAGCCCGUAAGUUGUUAAAUAAAUUAUUUUGUCAAAUUGAGAAUUUUGGCAAUGUAGAGUACCUAGUUUGUUCUGUUGAUUGUUAUUUUGUCCCUUUGUUUGAUGCUUGAUUUGAUGCUUUAACAUGGCGGACAUACAGGUGUCCCAAAAACCCAAAAACUGUUGAAAUAACGUAUUGUUAGAAUAUGAAUGCCUCACAAUUCUGCUGAACCCACAAGUACAUAAAAGCUUGACAUAAGUAAAUUUUAUGCAUAAAGAAACUGUUAAGAAGCCGCUUUAAAUUCCCAGGAGCAGAAAAUCGUGCGCUUUACAAAGAUAUUUUAAUUUCUUAAUAAGUCAGUAUCGUACGCAUCUUUAUGUUCAGCCGUAGUGCUAGGGAAUUCAAAUUCGAACAAUACGUCAUUUCAAUAGUUUUGGGGACACCCUGUAUAGUCACAAUUAUGUCUUGGACUAAGCUAAGAUGUAGAAUUUGGAUUUCGAUGAUUGCGGUUAGUUUCAAAUUUAAUAAAAGUCUUUAUGGGAGCGUUUCUUUUGUCAAUCUAGAUUUGGAUUUUUAGGAUUCGGAUUUUUGGAUUCGUUAAACAAAUGAACGUAUUGUGAGAAUCACCUUUCGCCUGCUAUUUUCCCGCCAUUUUUACUGACAAGUUUUCUGUCCCACUAUACCUUGCAGUCGGGUCAAGGUACAUGCUAGAAGGCCAGAAGCUCAAAAGGACGUUGAAUCCUAGUCAAAUUUCAGAUUGAAUAAAAAAAAUCCGUAUGUUGAGGUGGAUUCAUCAGAUUCGAAUCUAUUUUAAAAUCGAUAAUCGAAUUUGAAGAUUCAAAUCCGGAUUGCACUAAAGGAACGCUCCCCUACAUGCAAUUUCAGUUCGAGAUCGAGCUGGAUUAUUGCUACCCUGGUUGCCAGAGGUUCUGUAUCUUUCGCCUUAUUCUCGCUCGUAUUUAUUUUACGCGAGGCGAAGAGAACCUCUGGUGGCACGCGAUACAAAUCUCUCUUCCUUUGGUACAAAAUUUGUACCAAGCACAUGAUUGGUUAGUUAUAAUUAGCAGUCACAUGAAGUGAUGUGAUUGGCUAGACAAAAAACCUGUUCAUAAAUCUCAGAGAACAUGAUGUAAACAAAAUACAGAAAUAAUACGUAUUAAAACGAUUUACUUAGUGACUUUUAAUAGUUUGUUCGGCUAUAAAAAGAUUUUCUGCACUGAACAAGAGCUGCCAUCGCGGCAUGACUUGAGUCGGACGGCAUGACAUGUUCACUCUAUUACAGUAUUAAUAUUUGUGAAAUAUAGUGUUAGUCACUUGCUUUAUAUCGUUCAAGGUUUUAAAUUUUGAUAAUUCUUUGACUUUAAUAGUUAUUAAUAUGAUUUAUUUUGCCAAUAUUUUUCCGUUGUCUGUUAAUUAAGGGCAACCAUACUGGCUCCGUUGCACACACAUACUAAAUAUUUAUAUAUUUAUAUCUGUGCACUUUUGACUUUAUAGUUUAUAGGCUACGUUCGCUAAUACAAACGGCAUUCCAGAAAUUUAACAAUCAGUAAGAUUGCUUUUUGCUUUGCGAGAAUAAUCUAUACAUGUUUCUAAUGAAUAAUCUACAUGUUUGGGCUGCUUAUUUUUAAUAUUUUACACUAGCCAGCGUGGCCGGCUUUUCUAUUAUAAAAGAGCCGGCCACGCUGCUGAAGAGAGCUAUUUUGGUAGUAUGACAAACCCGGAAGUUUAAAAACGUCACAAAAUAUAAAACCGGUUUUGCAAGUUCUCAAACGGCAACGUCAGCAUGGAAGAGAGAUUUGUAUCGCGUGCCACCAGAAGUUCUCUUCGCCUCGCGUAAAAUAAAUACGAGCGAGAAUAAGGCGAAAGAUACAGAACCUCCGGCAACCAGGGUAGAUUAUUGCUACCACAUGCUUAAAAAUCAAUAAAAUACGAGUUUAAUACUAUCCCUGAUACAAUGUCUCAGUCGAUUCUUGACUAGUAUUUUCUAUAGUGUAUCAAUCUUGAUGCUUUUUAUAGACUCUCGUUGGUCACCUGUCUUCUGGCAGCUCAUUAAACAUGGCUUCUAUACAACCUUGUCAAAAGUCCAAGGUAAGUUUUCUACCUAAUUAUCUGGAUGUAUGAAAGACUUAACUACUUUGUAACUACCUUUUUUGUAUAGUAGUACUCUCAAAUACGCGAUUCUAACUGGUUAACUUUCGCGCUAACUGGAGUUGCAUUUUUAUACAACUGGCUCCAGCUUUUUUGUCAGACUAUCCGGACUAAAGUAUUAUCAUAUUUUUGAUGUUAUUAAAUUAGCGGUAUGACUUGAUAUUAAUUGUUUAAAAAAUUGUUUAAGUUUAAAAAAUUGUUUAAAUAUUUUAACUUCGUGUUUUAUACUUCACACAUUUGAGCCGAAAGUGGCGCAUUUUCCCGUGCAUAAUACAAAUUAAUACAAAAUUUGCAAAUUUCGUAGGGCUAUAUUUUCCGCAUUUUACAACAUUUCGUGUAUUUGGAAGAUAAUCAAGCGAAAUAUAAAUAAUGGUAAUUGCACUGAGUGGAGUGAAAUCUAUUCUGAAAUCAAACGCGUGAUUUCAAAGAUUUAAUCUAUCCGGAGGAAUACUUAGCCUUCCAGAUUUUGUUCCAAUUCCUUCGAAUCUCUCAGGAAUCUAAUUCUGUGUUGACUCUGCAGGCAUCGUUUCGACAGUGCUUUCGUGGUCUGGGUUACGGUUGUUCUCUUCUAUUGCUUUAUGUGUGCUUCGAGGUAUUUCAUCGUUCUCUUCCUCACGCUUCUCUCUUUCGUUUCUUGGGAUGCGUAGAGAAGGUUUCUUCUGCAUGUUCUUUGGUAAAACACCAGUUUCUGUUUGCACAUCAUAUGAUCGAGGUGUGUUGGCUGUUCCAACUACGACGGCUGGUUUUCCCCAUGCGUCGUAUUUUCGGUUUUAAUUCGAACUUGAUUUCCCUUCUUCAAAACUGGCCACGACCUGGAUGAAUUCCGUCUGUUGUAUUAAAACUCGCUGCUCUUCUGGCUAGCUUCGUGUUUCUGUUUCACCUUGUCAUCGUUUCGUACAUACGAGGUUCGUUAUUCUUUGAUAACGUUGGUAGAGUGGUUCUGAUUCGACGAUUCAACAUGACUUCUGAAGGGCUAUAACCAGUAGAUCCUACAGUUGUAGAUCUGUACACCAUCAGAGCGAGACACGGGUCUUCUUGUCGUAAUAUGUUCUUAGCUAUUUUCACAGCACUCUCGGCCAACCCAUUGGAUUGUGAGUAAUAUGGACUCGAGGUAGUGUGCUUGAAUCCAUUACUCUUCACGAAAUUGGAGAAACUCUCGCAUGAAAACUGCGGUCCGUUAUCGCUGACGACUUCUAGCGUAAUUCCCCAUCUGGCGAAGAUACUUUUAAGCUUGGCUAUCACGAGAAAUGAGGUUGCUUUGGACAAGUCCAGAACUUCCAUGUAACAGGAGUAGUAGUCCAUUGCCACGAGAAAUGUUUUUCCUUUGGCUUUGUAAUCCAGGAGGUCAAUACCUAUACGGUUCAAUGGUCUUUCCGGUAGUGGUGAUGAGGUUAGUGGUUCUCGUCUUUGAGCUGCUUUUUCACUUGACACUCUUCACAUCGACCGACUAUACCCUUGAUAUAUUUUCCGAUACCAAAGCAUUCUUUGGCUCUUUCGUCGCACUUGGUGAUUCCCUGAUGACCAUGAUGAAUGGACCAUUUGCAUUAUAGACUAAAUUUUGAUCUAGACAAAUAUUUCAUCACAGCUUGAAAGAGCAUCACAAAAUUAGUAAUAUUCCAAAGUUUCGUUGCGAAAUGUUGUAAAAUGCGGAUAAUAUAGCCUUGCGAAAUUUGCAAUUUUCAGUCAUUUUGUAUUACAAACGGGAAAUUGACAGCCCAAUCGGGUGUUGGGGCAUCAAUUUCCCGUUUGUAAUACAAAAUGACUGAAAAUUGCAAAUUUCGCAAGGCUAUAUUAUCCGCAUUUUACACCAUUUCGCACCGAAAUUUUGGAAUAUUACUAAUUUUGUGAUGCUCUUUCAAGCUGUGAUGAAAUAUUUGUCUAGAUCAAAAUUUAGUCUAUAAUGCAAAUGGUCCAUUACUUCCAAAAGUUUCGACUGCAGGGCAUUCGGAAUGAAAAUUAUCUCGUUAUACACCAAGAGUCCUUCCGCCACCGAAAGAUUCGAUCGAACGGAAUACAGAUCAUGGAGAUCACGUGGGAUGUUGCUACACUUUGUUAGCCAACCAUCAACUGUGAAUUUCCUGGCUUCUUGUAUCACCAAAUCUUUGUCAGCCUCUCUGAUCUCGUCAAGACAAACAUCCGAUACUGUCCAAGAUAUCGUGACCUCGUUAACGUAUAUGCAUUCCAACUUUUUCUACUGUUCGCGUAUCUUCUUCGUCACAAGUAGGUAACGGAUGCCUCGAGGAGAUAUCAGCGUGAUUUCUAAAAUACUCUGUAAUUCAAAGAGGUUAAAUAUGCCUUUCAGACAAUCACUUUCAAAAGUUGUUGGGAUCGAUGUUUGUUUAAAUUAAGGGUUUUGGUGGCAUCUAUCCCAAGACAUUUGAAAGUGAUUGUAGGUUAAACUCAGUUUAGUUUGAAAUUUCUUUUUGUUAAUUGUGAGGUGCAUUCCGUUGUUUGAGAGAGAACCAAUUGUUAUUUUCCUGCCCUCUAUAUUUAUGAGAUUAUUAAAUUGAUACAGGGAAAGUGAGAAGCAACGUUUGACUUCCAGCCGCUGCUGUGGAAUUCAAGAAACCGUUUUGGCACGAGAAUAUUACCAGCUUCACUAAGAAUGGACAAUUGAAUAGCCUGGGAUAUAUUUAUGAUACAAUAUGAUGGAGACUAUGCUGUUGUAAAUAUUCAUGCAAUUCGAGAUAAAUAUAAAUAUUAUAACUAUUAUAUAAAAUAUAAAUAUUAUGACUUUCAAACAAGACAUAGCUAUAUACAGAGUAAAAUUGAUACGUUGACAAGAGUUUAGAGUAUUGACAAGAGAGAUAUAUAUUUACAAGAGUAUGCUACAUUUAAAAAUUACUAAAACGGUUGC